AUGAACGCUAGCUACAGGCUUAACACAUGCAAGUCGAGGGGCAGCAUGGUCUUAGCUUGCUAAGACUGAUGGCGACCGGCGCACGGGUGAGUAACACGUAUCCAACCUGCCGUCUACUCUUGGACAGCCUUCUGAAAGGAAGAUUAAUACAAGAUGGCAUCAUGAGUCCACAUGUUCACAUGAUUAAAGGUAUUCCGGUAGACGAUGGGGAUGCGUUCCAUUAGAUAGUAGGCGGGGUAACGGCCCACCUAGUCUUCGAUGGAUAGGGGUUCUGAGAGGAAGGUCCCCCACAUUGGAACUGAGACACGGUCCAAACUCCUACGGGAGGCAGCAGUGAGGAAUAUUGGUCAAUGGGCGAGAGCCUGAACCAGCCAAGUAGCGUGAAGGAUGACUGCCCUAUGGGUUGUAAACUUCUUUUAUAAAGGAAUAAAGUCGGGUAUGCAUACCCGUUUGCAUGUACUUUAUGAAUAAGGAUCGGCUAACUCCGUGCCAGCAGCCGCGGUAAUACGGAGGAUCCGAGCGUUAUCCGGAUUUAUUGGGUUUAAAGGGAGCGUAGAUGGAUGUUUAAGUCAGUUGUGAAAGUUUGCGGCUCAACCGUAAAAUUGCAGUUGAUACUGGAUAACUUGAGUGCAGUUGAGGCAGGCGGAAUUCGUGGUGUAGCGGUGAAAUGCUUAGAUAUCACGAAGAACUCCGAUUGCGAAGGCAGCCUGCUAAGCUGCAACUGACAUUGAGGCUCGAAAGUGUGGGUAUCAAACAGGAUUAGAUACCCUGGUAGUCCACACGGUAAACGAUGAAUACUCGCUGUUUGCGAUAUACAGCAAGCGGCCAAGCGAAAGCGUUAAGUAUUCCACCUGGGGAGUACGCCGGCAACGGUGAAACUCAAAGGAAUUGACGGGGGCCCGCACAAGCGGAGGAACAUGUGGUUUAAUUCGAUGAUACGCGAGGAACCUUACCCGGGCUUAAAUUGCAGAUGAAUUACGGUGAAAGCCGUAAGCCGCAAGGCAUCUGUGAAGGUGCUGCAUGGUUGUCGUCAGCUCGUGCCGUGAGGUGUCGGCUUAAGUGCCAUAACGAGCGCAACCCUUGUUGUCAGUUACUAACAGGUUCUGCUGAGGACUCUGACAAGACUGCCAUCGUAAGAUGUGAGGAAGGUGGGGAUGACGUCAAAUCAGCACGGCCCUUACGUCCGGGGCUACACACGUGUUACAAUGGGGGGUACAGAGGGCCGCUACCACGCGAGUGGAUGCCAAUCCCCAAAACCUCUCUCAGUUCGGACUGGAGUCUGCAACCCGACUCCACGAAGCUGGAUUCGCUAGUAAUCGCGCAUCAGCCACGGCGCGGUGAAUACGUUCCCGGGCCUUGUACACACCGCCCGUCAAGCCAUGGGAGCCGGGGGUACCUGAAGUGCGUAACCGCGAGGAGCGCCCUAGGGUAAAACUGGUGACUGGGGCU
rnacentral:rRNA from 1 species